rnacentral:rRNA from 1 species
CAGCACCUCAAGUGGUCAGGAUGAUUAUUGGGCCUAAAGCAUCCGUAGCCGGCGCUGUAAGUUUUCGGUUAAAUCUGUACGCUCAACGUACAGGCUGCCGGGAAUACUGCAGCGCUAGGGAGUGGGAGAGGUAGACGGUACUCGGUAGGAAGGGGUAAAAUCCUUUGAUCUAUUGAUGACCACCUGUGGCGAAGGCGGUCUACUAGAACACGUCCGACGGUGAGGGAUGAAAGCUGGGGGAGCAAACCGGAUUAGAUACCCGAGUAGUCC